rnacentral:rRNA from 1 species
AAUAGAUACCCAGAUAGUCCUGGCCCUAAACGAUGAAUGCUUGGUGUGGCGGGUAUCGAUCCCUGCCGUGCCGAAGUUAACGCGAUGAGCAUUCCGCCUGGGGAGUACGGUCGCAAGGCUGAAACUCGAAGGAAUUGACGGGGGCCCGCACAAGCGGUGGAGCAUGUGGUUCAAUUCGACGCAACGCGAAGAACCUUACCUGGGCUCGAAAUGCAGAUGACCAUCGGCGAAAGUCGACUUCCGCAAGGACAACUGUAUAGGUGCUGCAUGGCUGUCGUCAGCUCGUGUCGUGAGAUGUUGGGUUAAGUCCCGCAACGAGCGCAACCCUUGUUCUCUGUUGCCAUCAGGUCAAGCUGGGCACUCUGAGGAGACUGCCGGUGACAAACCGGAGGAAGGUGGGGAUGACGUCAAGUCAGCAUGGCCUUUAUGUCCAGGGCUACACACGUGCUACAAUGGCCGGUACAAAGCGCUGCAAGCCCGCGAGGGUAAGCCAAUCGCAU